GGGACAGUAGCUCAAUGGUAGAGCAGUUGCCUUUUAAGCAAUUGGUUCCGGGUUCAAAUCCCGGCUGUCCCACCA
rnacentral:tRNA from 1 species